UACGUAGGGACCAAGCGUUGUUCGGAUUUACUGGGCGUAAAGGGCGCGUAGGCGGCUUGACAAGUCACUUGCGAAAUCUCCGGGCUUAACUCGGAACGGCCAAGUGAAACUGUCAUGCUAGAGUGCAGAAGGGGCAAUCGGAAUUCUUGGUGUAGCGGUGAAAUGCGUAGAUAUCAAGAGGAACACCUGAGGUGAAGACGGGUUGCUGGGCUGACACUGACGCUGAGGCGCGAAAGCCAGGGGAGCAAACGGG
rnacentral:rRNA from 1 species